ACUAAGUGCCAGGACCAUAAACUGAACACAAGCUAGAUCAAUCUGGAUACAAUACUACUGCAAUAACCACACAAUAUGAAUGGGUUGUCAAUACUACAAUAGUGAUAUUACCAUUGCUUCCUAUUGGAUGAAUAGAGGAAUUCUAAAGAGAGUUUACACUUCUAAUAAAACCCUUUCUGCUCAGUGGUCCCGUUUUUUUGUAGCUCAGAGGUGGCGACCCUAAAGGUAUUAUAGCUUUAACAAAUGUGCACUAUAAUCACUUUUAAAUUAGAACAGCUUUUACUAUGACUUUCAACUGACCUGAAAUAGCUCCUUAACAGAUAUCACAGUGUUUGAUUUCACCAUUGUUUUAACCAUCUUUAUCAAUAUGUUACUGCUGGCAGUAAACAGGAAUUUCUUAGGAGCAGAUUACUUGUUUACAGUCAUAUACUCCGUGGAAAUGAUUAUUAAGGUGCUGGCUCAAGGAUUUGCCUUUCACAAAUUUGCAUACCUAAAAAAUGCAUGGAACUGGUUGGACUUCACAGUAAUCCUACUAGCCUACCUGACCCUGGCGUUCCCUUUUCUACCCGGACUGUCAGCUCUGAGAGCUUUCAGAGCGCUGAAGAUGAUAGCAAUCCUUCCAGG